rnacentral:rRNA from 1 species
UACGUAGGGUGCAAGCGUUGUCCGGAAUUAUUGGGCGUAAAGAGCCCGUAGGCGGUUUGUUGCGUCGGCUGUGAAAUCCCGAGGCUCAACCUCGGGUCUGCAGUCGAUACGGGCAGACUAGAGUAUGGCAGGGGAGACUGGAAUUCCUGGUGUAGCGGUGAAAUGCGCAGAUAUCAGGAGGAACACCGGUGGCGAAGGCGGGUCUCUGGGCCAUAACUGACGCUGAGGAGCGAAAGCAUGGGGAGCGAACAGG